GGGCGAUUAGUUUAGUGGUAAAACGCGCCGUUCACAUCGGCGAGAGCGUAGGUUCGAUCCCUACAUCGCCCACUA
rnacentral:tRNA from 1 species